GUCAUGAAGAGCUCCCGGGCAUGCAGCAGACACCAGUUGUCUGGUCCUGUGGAACUCUGGGCACACAUGUCAGCUCCGAGGGGCCCCCUCGAGGACCUUCUCACUGUGGUCCCUCCCGUCAUUCAUGGGGCACAGGGGAAUGGGAGGGAAAGUGCCAAGGCACAUGACAACUCCUCUGAAGACAUCAUCUCUCUGAUUUCUGGCCACUUCCCAUGUCUGGUGGUCACAGCUUCCCCAACAGCUCUUUGCAGGUCCCGCUGAGCAGGUCUGAGGCCUCCCUUUGGAACAUGGGGGUAUUGGCGUCCACUGGUUCUCUGCCUUAGAGCUGAAACAGCAUCAUUUUUUAACAUUUUGUUGCCUUUGGAUUAGUUGAGGGUAGUAAGCCAGAAGUUAGUUGUGAUGGGUACAGCCUGUCUUCUUUGGCUUAAAGAUGUUCCAACAUCUCCAGUGUCCUUGGAUGGCCAUCGUUACUUCCGGGGGAGAAAAGGUCGGCUGCUGGAGAGCCUGUGUGCCCUAAGGUACUAGCGGCUUCAGAGAGGUGGUUGUGCUCCUUCUGGAAUCAGACCCACAGUCAAGGAAGGAAGAAGGACAAGGGGCAUUGCUGGUCAUCUGUCUUUUACAGAAGAAAGUCAAAGCCUUUCCAGAGGGUCUCCAGAAGACAUCGCAAAUGCAUCCUCUGGGUUAGGAGGCCCCAUGCGGUGUUCUUGAAUGUGGACCACACCCCGGACCUGGAAAUACUCUCCCGUCCUACAGGAAUACAGAGGCGACCUUCGAGUGCCUUCCAACCUCACAAGAAGUCUUUGCAAACCAGAGGAGAGAAAAGAAGUUCUGAUCUGGAGGGAGAAAGCCGCGAGCUUGCAGAUGGCAAAGGCGGGAGCCUCCGGGAAGGCGCUUCUUGGUGGGGGGGGGGGGGCCUGAGUGAGGAGGAAGGGUCACAGGCGGGCGGAGGAGGUGAUGGGGGCCCCCGCUUCCUCCAGGUGUCCUUUACGCAGACUUUCCAGUCAGGGUCUUGGCUGCGGGCCGCCAUCCUUUUUCCUGUGGCUCGGGCAUCUGCUUUCCAGCUCUCUUGGCAAAGCCCGUGUAAGAGCCGCUUGCCUGCCCCCGGCUGCCUCGCCCACAGCUCGGCCAGUCACACAGCCCUGUUCCCAACCGGGGAGCAAGACCCCAUUUCAGAUGCA
rnacentral:lncRNA from 1 species